rnacentral:lncRNA from 1 species
AAUAAUACGAUAUUAUGAUUGAUGAACUUGGUUAAGAGUAUCACAUAAUGUGUUAUGAAACUCUUGUCCAAAAUUUAAUCAUGCGAUGUUUGAUAUUGUGAAAAAUCACAAACAAAUACCACUGCUUAUCGCAGUUGUGAUAUGAUUGCAGAGAAAUAAAAAAUUGACAUCGUAGGAGCAUACCAUUUUUUUAGAACCUUGCACUUAUGUUUCAUUUCAUAUUCUUAUACACAAUAUUAAAUAACAAUAAUUUUUUUCUUCUCAGGAAUCCAUGGACAACAUAACCCUCUUCUCAGUAAUAACAGUCAUGUCAUUCUUCCUAUCAGUACCUAUAGCCCUCUUCAUGGAGGGUGUUAAAUUUACCCCUGCUUACCUGCAAUCUACAGUAAGAACUUCUUUGUUGAAAAUGAUUGGUACUGCUGUUAGCAUUCUCAAAUCAAAAUACAUUACUCUUUCCGUAACAAAAUUAAGCAAAAAAGUACAUACAUGGAUCAAAUCCAUGUAAUUUUUUAUUUAUAGUUUUGUUACUGAGUGAGUAUUUUGAUGAUGCUACUAAUAUAUGAUUGAUGUCAUUUUUAUUCACAGGGAUUAGAUGUUCAACAAGUGUACAUUAGAUCUCUUCUUGCUGCGCUUUGUUACCAUGCGUAUCAGCAAGUGAGUUUUCAUCUUCUAUGCACAUUAUAUUUUCCCCUUUUAUUCAAGAGUGUUACAAUUUCCACUUCUUUUUGUGAAAAAAUAAAUCAAGACUUCAUUAGUUAUAAUUCACUGAAAACAAAAUAAAAUUAUUUAGUAUGAAAUGGUUUAUCAUAUGUGCAGGUUUCUUAUAUGAUAUUGGAGAGAGUAUCACCUGUUACUCAUUCUGUAGCAAACUGUCUGAAGCGUGUGAUAGUUAUAGUGAGCUCUGUCAUAUUUUUCCAAACACCUGUCUCACCAAUUAACGCAUUAGGUACUAAAAUAAAAUUGCUUCCUUCUUUUUAACCAUAUAUAUCUCUUGUUGAAACUGAAAAUUUUAUGUGCUUAUUAAUUCUCUGCAGG